CAAUAGCGUAUAUUUAAGUUGUUGCAGUUAAAAAGCUCGUAGUCGGAUUUUGGCUGAGAACGAACGGUCCGCCGUUAGGUGUGCACUGUUUGGUCUCAGCUUCCUGGUGAGGAGGUGUGCUUCACGGCCACUUAGUCACCGUGGUUACUUUGAAAAAAUUAGAGUGUUCAAAGCGGGCUUACGCUUGAAUAUAUUAGCAUGGAAUAACACCAUAGGACUCCUGUCCUAUUUCGUUGGUCUCGGGACGGGAGUAAUGAUUAAGAGGAACAGUUGGGGGCAUUCGUAUUUCAUUGUCAGAGGUGAAAUUCCUGGAUUUAUGAAAGACGAACUUCUGCGAAAGCAUUUGCCAAGGAUGUUUUCAUUGA
rnacentral:rRNA from 1 species